rnacentral:rRNA from 1 species
CCUACGGGAGGCAGCAGUGGGGAAUAUUGGACAAUGGGGGGAACCCUGAUCCAGCCAUGUCGCGUGUGUGAAGAAGGCCCUCGGGUUGUAAAGCACUUUCAGUGAGGAAGAACGCCUGGUGGUUAAUACCCAUCAGGAAAGACAUCACUCACAGAAGAAGCACCGGCUAACUCCGUGCCAGCAGCCGCGGUAAUACGGAGGGUGCGAGCGUUAAUCGGAAUUACUGGGCGUAAAGCGCGCGUAGGUGGCUUGAUAAGCCGGUUGUGAAAGCCCCGGGCUCAACCUGGGAACGGCAUCCGGAACUGUCAAGCUAGAGUGCAGGAGAGGAAGGUAGAAUUCCCGGUGUAGCGGUGAAAUGCGUAGAGAUCGGGAGGAAUACCAGUGGCGAAGGCGGCCUUCUGGACUGACACUGACACUGAGGUGCGAAAGCGUGGGUAGCAAACAGGAUUAGAUACCCGUGUAGUC